ACAAAACAAGUUUUAAGUUUGAAAGAUGCAAUUGCAUCACUCAAAGAUGAUCCCGCGUUGUAUUAGCUAGUUGGUGAGGUAAAGGCUCACCAAGGCGAUGAUACAUAGCCGACCUGAGAGGGUGAUCGGCCACAUUGGGACUGAGACACGGCCCAAACUCCUUAACGGGAAGUGCAGCAGUAGGGAAUCUCUCGGCAGUGGACGAAGGUUCUGAUCGAGCCAACGCCGGCGUGAGUGAAGAAGGAUGUUUCGGAUCGUAAAACUCUGUUGGUAGAGAAAGAACGUUGGUGAGAGUGGAAAGCUCAUCAAGUGACGGUAACUACCCAGAAAAGGGACGGCUAACUACGUGCCAGCAGCCGCGGUAAUACGUAGGUCCCGAGCGUUGUCCGGAUUUAUUGGGCGUAAAGCGAGCGCAGGUGGUUUAUUAAGUCUGGUGUAAAAGGGCAGUGGCUCAAACCAUUGUAUGCAUUGGAAACUGGUAGACUUGAGUGCAGGAGAGGAGAGUGGAAUUUCCAUGUGUAGCGGUGAAAUGCGUAGAUAUAUGGAGGAACACCGGUGGCGAAAGCGGCUCUCUGGCCUGUAACUGACACUGAGGCUCGAAAGCGUGGGGGAGCAAACAGGAUUAGAUACCCUGGUAGUCCACGCCGUAAACGAUGAGUGCUAGAUGUAGGGAGCUAUAAGUUCUCUGUAUCGCAGCUAACGCAAUAAGCACUCCGCCUGGGGAGUACGACCGCAAGGGUUGAAACUCAAAGGAAUUGACGGGGGGCCCGCCACAAGCGGUGGAGCAUGGUGGUUUAAUUUCGAAGCAACGCGAAGAACCUUACCAGGGUCUUGACAUACUCGUGGCUAUUCCUAGAAGAUAGGGAGUUCCUUCGGGACACGGGAUAACAGGUGGUGCAUGGUUGUCGUCAGCUCGUGUCGUGAGAUGUUGGGUUAAGUCCCGCCACGGAGCCGCAACCCCUAUUGUUAGUUGCAUCAUUAAGUUGGGUACCUCUAACGAGACUGCCGGUGCAUAAACCGGAGGAAGUUGGGGAUGGACGUUCAAAUCAUCAUGCCCCUUAUGACCUGGGCUACACACGUGCUACAAUGGAUGGUACAACGAGUCGCGAGACAGUGAUGUUUAGCUAAUCUCUUAAAACCAAUUCUC
rnacentral:rRNA from 1 species